rnacentral:rRNA from 1 species
UACGUAGGGUGCGAGCGUUGUCCGGAUUUAUUGGGCGUAAAGAGCUCGUAGGCGGUUUGUCGCGUCGGCCGUGAAAUCUCCACGCUUAACGUGGAGCGUGCGGUCGAUACGGGCAGACUUGAGUUCGGUAGGGGAGACUGGAAUUCCUGGUGUAGCGGUGAAAUGCGUAGAUAUCCGGAGGAACACCGGUGGCGAAGGCGGCUUCCUGGACUGACACUGACGCUGAGGCGCGAAAGCUAGGGGAGCAAACGGG